rnacentral:rRNA from 1 species
AGCCCUAAGUGGGUGGUAAACUCCAUCUAAGGCUAAAUAUGACCACGAGACCGAUAGCGAACAAGUACCGUGAGGGAAAGUUGAAAAGCACUUUGAAGAGAGAGUUCAAGAGUACGUGAAACCGUUUAGGGGUAAACCUGAGAAACCCGAAAGGUCGAAGGGAGAAAUUCAUUCGCGUUUCGCCGUGGGCGGCGGGCGGUCGUGUGACGGAAAGCGUUCGCGCGUUUCCGCACCUUCCGCUCGUCGAUCCCGUGGCGAACGCGUGCACUUUUCUCCUGGUAGGACGUCGCGAUCCGUUGGGUGUCGGUCUACGGCUCGCGGUGGAGCCCGUUCGUAUUUCGGUACGAAUGGACCCGUGUGUUCCCGGCUGACUCGCUCGACGGUAUACGAAAGGUUUAAGGCCGCUCUUGGAGCGUUCGGCUCGCGGCAAGCGCGCCAGAUGCGUCGGCCAUCGGACCUAGUGCCGAUUCUGACCUCUGGUGACUGUUGGCAGCGAUGUUCUCGAACAGACCUUCAGACCGAUCUGCGACGCUAUAGCUUUGGGUACUUUCAG